UCCUGCUUGGCGCAGGCAGUUCCUCUAGAGUGCCCAACUAAAUGCUGGCAACUAGAAGCGAGGGUUGCGCUCGUUGCGGGACUUAACCCAACAUCUCACGACACGAGCUGACGACAGCCAUGCAACACCUGAUGAAUGCUCCUCUUUCGAGGUCGUUACCGUUUCCGGUUUCUACCACAUCCACUUCAAGCCCGGGUAAGGUUCUUCGCGUUGCAUCGAAUUGAACCACAUGCUCCACCGCUUGUGCGAGCCCCCGUCAAUUUCUUUGAGUUUUAACCUUGCGGCCGUACUCCCCAGGCGGAUAACUUAAUGCGUUAGCUGCGCCACCAAAAGCCCAUGGCCCCUGACAGCUAGUUAUCAUCGUUUACGGCGUGGACUAC
rnacentral:misc_RNA from 1 species